GACAGAGGGUGCAAACGUUGUUCGGAUUCAUUGGGCGUAAAGGGUGCGUAGGUGGCGUGGUAAGUCGGGUGUGAAAUUUCGGAGCUUAACUCCGAAACUGCAUUCGAUACUGCUGUGCUUGAGGACUGGAGAGGAGACUGGAAUUUACGGUGUAGCAGUGAAAUGCGUAGAGAUCGUAAGGAAGACCAGUGGCGAAGGCGGGUCUCUGGACAGUUCCUGACACUGAGGCACGAAGGCCAGGGGAGCAAACGGG
rnacentral:rRNA from 1 species